UCUAGAAGUUAGUUUCUCUAUAAGUGGCAAUGAGUGAUGAAAAAAAGAAUAAUAGUAGAAUAGAAAGGUAGAAAUUCAGUUGUUGUGUAUUGUUUUUUCGUUGUUCGUUCAUUGUUGUUACCUCUCUCUGUUAGCAAAAUUGCUAUCUUGAUGGCUAACUAGAUAUCAUGUUUUACGAACUAUCCUUUGUUAAUGGCUACAUGGAAGGUUGCCCCUGCUCUGGCAGCUGGUUGUGCUGCGAUAUUGAAGCCUUCCGAAUUGGCAUUUGUGACAUGUUUGGAGUUGGAUGACAUAUGCAAAGAAGUGGGCCUUCCUCCAGGUGUACUAAAUAUUCUAUUUAUGUAUAAUAGAUUAGAAAUAAAUCUAGUAACUGAAGAACAAUGAAUAUACGAGAUGCUCGUACACCAUACGUCUGAGAUGAAGCACAUUGAUACUGAAGCACUCAAAGAGCACUUUGGGAAGAAAAUUAUGGAGCUUGAGGAGGAAAAAAGAAAAGUGCAGGUUUGGACAUAGUUAGGUUUAAAUACUUUUUAGAUAGCACACAAACGAAAGGCUUUUUCU